rnacentral:rRNA from 1 species
AGAGUUUGAUCAUGGCUCAGAUUGAACGCUGGCGGCAUGCUUUACACAUGCAAGUCGAGCGGCAGCGCGGGGGCAACCCUGGCGGCGAGCGGCGAACGGGUGAGUAAUACAUCGGAACGUGUCCCGUAGUGGGGGAUAACCCGGCGAAAGCCGGACUAAUACCGCAUAUGCUCUACGGAGGAAAGUGGGGGACCCGCAAGGGCCUCACGCCAUGGGAGCGGCCGAUGUCCGAUUAGCUUGUUGGUGAGGUAAAGGCUUACCAAGGCGACGAUCGGUAGCUGGUCUGAGAGGAUGAUCAGCCACACUGGGACUGAGACACGGCCCAGACUCCUACGGGAGGCAGCAGUGGGGAAUUUUGGACAAUGGGGGCAACCCUGAUCCAGCCAUGCCGCGUGCGGGAAGAAGGCCUUCGGGUUGUAAACCGCUUUUGUCCGGAAAGAAAAGGCACCCCCUAAUACGGGAUGCUCUUGACGGUACCGGAAGAAUAAGCACCGGCUAACUACGUGCCAGCAGCCGCGGUA